rnacentral:ncRNA from 2 species
CAAUGUUCUCAGGGCGGGGUGAAAGUCCCCACCGGCGGUAAGGGUCUCGGCCAAGCCCGCGAGCGCUUUCCGGACUACCGGAAAGGUCAGCAGAUUCGGUGUGAUUCCGGAGCCGACGGUUACAGUCCGGAUGAAAGAGAACGAAU